CGGGGGCGGUGGCGGACUCCGGGCGGCGGCGGCCUCCGGUGCGGGGCCGCCGGUGCGGGGCCGCCGAACCCGGCCUCCUCCGCGCGUCCCCGGCGUUUUACACGGCACAUCUCCUGCGAGCGGUAGCGUCGUCCGGACAAGAAAGCGUCGCCGCUGUUAAGGCCUCCUGCGGGCCUCGGAGGUACUGCUGUGGGCGCUGAGUAUAUGACUGUCAACAAAACCACUGAAGUCCUUGCCUAGACAUGGCCUAGGGACAAUAAACGAAUGCACAGGAGAUUAGGCAGAUGGUGCACAGAGGGAGCAUCAUGUGAAGACACAGGGAGAAGACGGUCAUCUACAGCCAGAGGAGAGAGGAUUCAGAAGAAACCAACCCUGCCGGCACCUUGAUCUUGGACUUCUAGCUUCCAAACUAAAGAUUAAUGUACAUAAACAUGCAGCUGCCAUAAGAGAGAGAGAUGACAAUCAUAUGGGAGGGACUGUGGAAGAAACCUUUGUCCUUUGCUGUCUCAGGCCAGAAGCGGUCUUUGGAGAAAGACCGGGAGCAGACCCUCCACCUGGUUUCUUUCCGUCCGAAGGCACCCCGCUCGGCGCUGGCACCAGGAGGUCGGGCAGGGUGUCAUGGUGCUGGCUCUGUAGUUCACAACCAUGGAGGCACCUGCCCAGUGGACACCAGCCCGCUGAAGGGUGUGAGGACUCCGUGCGAUGUGGUCCUUGGGGCCACCAUCACUCGUGGACACUUGUUUUGCAUUCCAACACAGUAUUUAUUGAGAAGUCACAUACAUGGGAAGCCCUCCUCCCAUGCCCCCCCACCCCCUUUCCCCCCAACUCACCCCCCCUACCCGAGUGCACCCCCUGCUGCCAAGGGAAGAGUUAAGACACCUCACUGAGCAAACACUCCAAGACCCUUUUGAUGGCAAGGACCUCAACCUCCUGCUUGCACAACUCCUGCUGCUGCAAGGCCUCCACUUCCCACUCCAACUCACAAUACCUCUCCUGCAGCCUCUGGAGCUCAGUCAAGGACUCCUCUAUGCUCAGGGCCGGGGGCUCCCCUGGGAUGUGCCCACACCCCUCCCUCCCUGCCACGACCCAGGGCUCCUGUUCUGCUGGCACCUUUCUCCUCUCCAAGAUGAGUCUGAAUAGGAAAAUGAUGCCGCCAGGUGUUACAGAACCAGAACGUGUUAGGUGGAAUGUGGUCCCAGCCCAGGGGCCUGCCAGCACCUCGGCCCAGUGACCCAUAAGGAGGAGGACCACGCUCUCAAGGGUCCCGGGUACCGAAAUGCUGACGUUGGAGUGCCUGCCCUUGCAAAAGCCCGCCAUUGCCUCCUUGGACCACCACCAACGUGACUGCUCCGGCCGCAGCAGCAGUAUAUGGAGCCUGGCCUGGGCUGGUGGCCUGGGAUGUUUCCAGUCUGCGUCAGGGACAGGACGGCCUUUGGGUCCAGGUUGCUGUUUCUGGUCUGUCUCUCGGCCUCCCAUCUGGCUGGCUGGCUGUAGGGCAGGCUGGACUGAUGGUACCCGUUCUUCCCUUUGUGGAGGAGGUUGGGGCUGAGAGUCAGGGAGGGAACCAGGGCCAAGGUAGGGGACGGCACGCGUGAGGACCGGCAGGAUGUCUUCCUCUUCCACUAUGUAGCAGCCUCUUCCUGCCGGCUGACCCGGGACCGGCAGAGGUGCCGACGGCCAGAGGCAUAAGUGGACUUGUGGUGCGUCCACAUGAGGCUUGGGGCCGGAUACCCACGGCUCAGCUGGAGGAGGUCCUGGGGAGUGCGGCACAGGAGUCAGCGGCUGCCCUCUGUCCGAUGUCUCUGCGUGGUUGCUUGGCUGGCUGGUUGGAAGCUGUGUUGGGACACCAGAGGCCUGGGAGGGACAGUCCCAGCAUGGGCAGGGGUCCGCUGUGCUCCUGUUGUCGGAGCCCGACCCCCCACCGCGGGGCUGGAACCAGAAGGAGAGGAGCCAGGCCAGCCCAUGCCGGUACAGGGGGCACCGGGUGCGGGUACGCGGGCUUGCUGGCCCGCAGAGGGGCCCGAAAGUGGACCCUGGCACUAGAGUAGAGUGCUCGGUGUGGGUGAGGGACCCGGGGCAAUAGGAGUGGGCAUGGAGUGUGUCAGAGGUGGGUAUGGAGAAGGCGGUCGAGGACGUGGCCACAAGUAGCAGGAGAACCAGAAAGGCCACCUCUGCUAUGGCUCACCUUGGUAGCGGCGCCGGCUUUUAUAACCGCCCGUGGGGCAUCGUAAUGCCUCCCUGUGACCACUGUGGCCUCUCCGGCCAAUCGCCAGGAGGCUGUCACCGUGUCCCUCUGUAACGGAAAAGAACAAAUCUGACCCCAUAUUGGCUCUGUUCCUGUGGCUUUCACCACUGUGCCCUGUUUUCCAGGCUUAGUCUUUCUAGCUGUGCACCUUUUGUAAAACAAUGUUACCUUUAGGCUGAAAUGUACAGGAGAGCCUGUUCUCGGGACUCAGACCUUUAAGGAUGUUAGCACUUCUGCAUUUAUGUAGAGAUGGUAAGUUGCAAAACAGAAAAUAACCUUUGUUUUGUUGGAGGUUUACAGGGACACCAUGGCCUGACCCACAUGGACAGCUGCAGGAAUAAAGACUUCCUGCAGUGAGAACUUUGCAACAACCACACCGCCUCCCUUGUUUUUCUGUAUAAAAGGAAACUGUAUUCUGACUGGAGUAGGCUGGUCCUCCAAGACAUUAGUCGGCCAACCUCUUGGUCGGCCAGCUUUCCGAAUAAAGCCACUAUUCUUUGCCCCAACA